GACGAACGCUGGCGGCGUGCUUAACACAUGCAAGUCGAACGGAAAGGCCCUGCUUUUGUGGGGUGCUCGAGUGGCGAACGGGUGAGUAACACGUGAGUAACCUGCCCUUGACUUUGGGGUAACUUCAGGAAACUGGGGCUAAUACCGGAUAGGAGCUCCUGCUGCAUGGUGGGGGUUGGAAAGUUUCGGCGGUUGGGGAUGGACUCGCGGCUUAUCAGCUUGUUGGUGGGGUAGUGGCUUACCAAGGCUUUGACGGGUAGCCGGCCUGAGAGGGUGACCGGCCACAUUGGGACUGAGAUACGGCCCAGACUCCUACGGGAGGCAGCAGUGGGGAAUAUUGCACAAUGGGCGGAAGCCUGUUGCAGCAACGCCGCGUGCGGGAUGACGGCCUUCGGGUUGUAAACCGCUUUCGCCUGUGACGAAGCGUGAGUGACGGUAAUGGGUAAAGAAGCACCGGCUAACUACGUG
rnacentral:rRNA from 1 species